rnacentral:lncRNA from 1 species
GUUUCCUCGCAUACAUUACCAUCAAUGCCCGGCCUGUGAGUGUGUGUCGGGGAGGGGGGAGAGCGGCCGCGAAAGGCGGGCGGGCGCGCAGGCGGCGGCGGCGGCGGGCGGCGGGCAGCCCCGGCACCUGGGCCCGGCGCGCCCUCGGCGACUCUCAUCAGCUCCCAGUUACUGGCGCCGGCGCUCCCGGGCCAUCUCCCUCCGUCGACACCACGCUCACUCUCAGCCGGGGCAGCGGCGCCAACUACACGGCGGCACCGCGAACCGGGGGGAGGGGGGCAAGACGACGCGUCCGGCUCAGCCCCGCGGAGAGCGACUGCCUCCUCCGCCUUCUCCUCCUCCUGCUCCGCCGCCUCCUCCCCUCCUCCCCCCGCCGCCGCCGCUGCUGCCGCCGCCUGGUCCUUCUUCUCCUCCUCCUCCUCCCGCCGCCGCCGCCGCCGCUGGUGCCGCCGCUGCCGCUCCACCAACUACAUCCGGGCAACUCGGACGCUGCCGCCUUCGGGAAACCUCGGCAGUUUCCGCCGGGCCCCUCCUCUCCCACCCUCGGCCUUCCUCCCCGCACCGCGCGGGUCCGGAACACCGCCCUCGGCAAACCUCGGCUGGCUCCGGCCUUUCUCCUCCUCUGAGGCCUGGAUCUUCUCUUCGCGACCAGUCUGCCCUUUCCUUCUUUUCCUCACUCGCGAGUCGGCCACCGCCGUUCCCGUUUAGGGAUAGUCUCGCUCGGGCGCCUGCUCGAGGCUGAUCUCAGGGGCUCCGGGCUGCGCAGGGAGGGAGCCGCCUUCCGGAAGAGGACGGUGGGGCGCGAGGGAAGCCAUCGCGGACUAAAUAAGGGAGGCUGCAGCGGCUGCGCGUGCGCCCAGAGGCGCAGCGGGAGGGGGUGCUCUCGGGCGAGCUCUCCGGCCGCGGCCCCCGCCCCUGCGCUGUCGGGCGGGGAGGUCGGAAACCCCCUGGCGAGACCACGGGCGGACGCUUCCCGAAGAGCUGCCUGGGCUGCAGCCGCGGAAGCUGCGUUCUGGGGAGCGGGGAGCGUGCUCCGGCGCCUUCGGGCCGCUGCUGGAAGCCGGAACCGAGCCCGGGCCGCUGCCCCUCACCGGACGCCGCGCGCCACCGGCCCUCCGCGGGGCAGGGGCUGCUGCGAGCUCGCCGGGCGCCCUUUAGACAGUCGUCCUUGUCUACUCCACUACCAAAUGUUGAAGUUCUUCAAGAAUCAGUCCUUUGGAGGCAUUUAAGGAAAUCUGUUUCUCUUUUGGAUCACUAGCUGCAAAUUAAGCUAACAGAACAGGAGCUCAGCUGGUCACACACAGCAACGAAUACAGACUUUAUAAAGUUCAGAAAAGUUACCAAACAGUGGUAACCAUAACAAGUACCAACAAUGAACUAUGGGGAGGGAGGAGAAUCUGAUUUCCAGAGUUACCACAUUAUAAUACUAUUCAAAAUGUCACAUUUUUAGCAAAGAUUACAUGACAAGGAAAAACCAGAAAAGUAUGGCCCAUACACAGGUAAAAAAAGAAAUUAAUAGAAACUACCCCUGAAGAAGCACAGACUUCGGAUGUACAAAACAAAGACUUUUCAUCAACUCUUUUAGAUAUGCUAGAAGAGCUAAAGGAAACCAUGGACAGAGAACAAAAAAAUUAGGAAAGCAAUGUCUCAUCCAAUACAGAAUAUCAAUAAAGAGAUUGAAAUUGUAGAAAAGAACCAAAUAGAAAUUCUGGAGUUGAAAAGUAUUAUAACUAAAACUGAAAAUUCACUAGAGGUAUUCAGCAGCAGACUGGAGAAGUCAGAAGAAAGAAUCAACAGGCUUCAAGAUAGGUCAAUUAAGAUUAUACAGUCUGAGGAGCAGAAAGGAAAAAGAAUGAAGAAAAAUGAACAGAGCAUAAAAGACCUCUGGGACUCUAUCAAGCAUACCAGUAUAUGCAUGAGGGGAGUCCCAGAAGGAGAAGAAAGAGAGAAAGGGACAUAAUAUUUGAAGAAAUAAUGGUAGAAAAUGUCCCAGCUUUGAUGAAAUACAUGAAUCUAGAUAUUCAAGAGGCUCAAAGAACCCUAAAUAGGGUAAACUCAAAAAGACCCACACCGGAAUGCAAAAGUGAGCUGGGUGUGGUGGCACGUGCCUGUGGUCCCAGCUACUCGAGAGGCUAAGGCAGGAAAAUCGCUUGAACCCAGGAGGCAGAGAUUGCGGUGAGCCGGGAUUGCGCCAGUGCACUCCAGCUGGGCGACAGAGCGAGAUUCCAUCUCGAAAAAAAAAAAAAAAAAAAAAAAAAACUAUUGCUGCAGUCAUUCAGAUGGAAAUGGGGAAAGAAUAAUAUUAACUGAUUUCAAAAAGGACUUGAAGAUGUGAAUCAUCUAUUUUGCUGAAGAAAUCUUAACUCUUUGAAAUUACUUUUUGUUGCUGUUGUCAUACUCUUAGGUGCCAAACUGCGGUAAAUUUUUUAUCAGUGAAGUGGAAGCAUGUGUUUUGUUGUUUUGGGAAUUUUUAUCAAGUAUCUUCAGAGAAGAUUAUUUCCUGCUUUAUCUUCAAAAACUGGAAAGGAAGGGUCAAAGAAAAGACAGUAGCUGGCCGGUCAUGGUGGCUCAUGCCUGUAAUCCCAACACUUUGGGAGGCUGAGGUGGGCAGAUCACCUGAGGUUGGGAGUUCGAGGCCAGCCUGACCAACGUGGAGAAAUGCCAUCUCUACUAAAGAUGCAAGGAUUGGCCGGGCGUGGUGGUGCGUGCCUGUGAUCCCAGCUGCUCAGGAGGCUGAGGCAGGAGAAUCGCUUGGACCUGGGAGGUGGAGGUUGCGGUGAGCUGAGAUCACGCCAUUGCACUCCAGCCUGGGCAACAAGCGAAACUCUGUCUCAAAAAAAAAGAAAAGACAGUAGCUUAUGUUCAUGUCAAGCACCUCUCAUCACAGUCUAGUUCCAAGGAAAAAAUUCCCAGCGUUUUCUACAUUCGGUGCUGCGUCAUCUGAAAUCGGCACAUUCCAUGGAGGAAGGAGUCCUGCUUUGUUGCAUGUAUCCUAGGGUUUAAUGUUGGUAAAUGAGUCACUCUAGCAUUUGUAGAAGGCUCCCUGAGACUCCUGCAGCAGUCGACCAAGCCCAAGGACAUAAUUGAAUCUGGAGAGUCCUGGGGCCUUGUUUUGAAAAAGACUUGAAAUACACAUAGGAAGAAAGGCAUAAAAAUAAAUGUUCACUUGUCUCUGCUGUGAGUAUGUGUUCCAACUUUUCAGUGAUGGCUUUGAGAAUUCUCAAACUUGACUGGCUCUAAGUGUAUCUGGUGGCUUUUGUAUCGUAACCUGAAACUGGCUUAGUACUUUUUCCUAAAAGCUCAGGAUUUGAGAAUGAGGACCCCUUCGCCAGGAAAACAUGUAUACACUCAAAAUUUUGCUUGCAGUUCUAGGGUGUUUAGACCUUUCUCAGAUACCUGUGCAUCUUAUGGGUUUUGUUUUUCUCUUUGAGACAGUCUCACCCUGUUGCCCAGGCUGGAGUGCAGUGGCAUGGUCUCAGCUCAUUGCAGCCUCCGCCUCCUGGGUUCAGGUGGUUCUGCCUCAGCCCCUUGAUCGGCUGGGAUUGCAUGCAUGUGCCACCAUGCCCGGCUCAUUUUUGUAUUUUUAGUGGAGAUGGAGACAGAGUUUCACCAUGUUGGCCGGGCUGGUCUUGGGCUCCUGACCUCAGGUGAUCCGCAAGCCUGGGCCUCCCGGGGUGCUGGGAUUACACGCGUGGGCAACUGCGCCCAGCCCUUGUGUACCUUAUGUGAGGAAGUCCUGCUCAAUCAGGAUCGGUCACGCAGGCCCUGAUCUUGCUACUCUGGUUCCAUGUCCUAUGGAAGACCAAAGUUUACCAAGAUAGAUUUUUCCCUUCAUAGUGGCAGAUACUGUUAACCCCUGCACCAUCUAUAACUCAGAAAUCCCCACCAUUUCUUCCCCUGGGCUUCAGAAUAGAAUUGCCUGGUUUCUCUGAUGAUCAGCACACUUCCUUAAAACCCAAAUCAGCAAGGAAUGAACAAUUUUGUUUGGCAUGGAUGAAAUUAGCACUGUUUGGCUCGGUAGGCCCCAGACAGGCAGGCACCUUAAUUUUUUCCUUGCAUAUUCUAGUCUUCAGAAGCAUUGCCUUUUGUCCUACUGGUAGUGACAUAGAUCAAUAACAGGGCAUCUGGGGAUUUUAAUCCUGAAAACAGUGAGUCUGAUACUGCUUGUGUUUUUCAUCAGUGUCCACCCCGAGUGGGUCUUCCUGCUAUUCUCUUCACUUAGUUGCCCCUCACUUGCCAUCUGAGCAAUUGGCAAGGAUGUGCCAGGCCUAGGUUAAACUUGGAAACAUGCUUGACCAUUCUAUUCCCUGGUCCUUUAAGAUCAGUUUGGCUGCAAUUUUGGCUCCUUGGACCCUCAAGCAUAGCUGGUAAAUCAAGUUAGAGAUGUAACUGCCUUAAAACGUGCCAGCUUAGGCUGGGCGCGGUGGCUCACGCCUGUAGUCCCAGCACUUCGGGAGGCUGGGGCAGGCGGAUCACCUGAGGUCAGGAGUUCGGGACCGGCCUGACCAACGUGGAGAAAUUCUGUCCCUACUAAAAAUGCAAAAUUGGCCGGGUGUGGUGGUGCAUGCCUGUAAUCCCAGCUACUUGGGAGGCUGAGGCAAGAGAAUUGCUUGAACCCAGGGAGGCGGAGGUUGCAGUGAGCCGAGAUCACGCCAUUGCAUUCCAGCUUGGGCAACAAAAGCAAAACUCUGUCUCAAAAAAAAAAAAAAGUGCCAGCGUAUGAGGUAAUUAGAUUGGUUCUCUCCAGAGGUAACCUGCCAAGAAGAGAUGCUAUAGAUGUUACUCAUAUACUGUAAAACAUUGUGAAAUCAGAUUACUUUAAAAUGAUGUAUUACAAAGUUUUGCAAAAAAGCAGUUGUGACUGUGGAAGCCCAAGGCUUAUAUCCCAGCUCUGUCUUACACUAAAUAUGGGUAGAGUGUUUCCACUCUGUCCAUAAAAUGGGAGCUAAUAUUCUCCAACCUGUGUGCCUGACAUGAUGGUUAAAAGGAUUAAACAAAACAAUAGUUUGUAAUUUAUUCUGUCAGAGCACACUGCUGGUAAAUAAAAGGGAGUAAGUUGACUAAAACUAAAUUUAAAAAAAAAUCCUAAUAAAACAAGUUUGUAAUUUAUAAUUGUAUACAAAUAAAAGAUGUUACAAAAAAAAAAAAGACCCACACCAAGACACAUCAUAAUUAAACCGUCAAAAGUCAAUGACAAUCCUGCAAGCAGCAAGAGAGAAGCAAUUCCUCACGUACAAAGGAUUCUCAAUAAGAUUAAUAGCUGACUUCUCAUUAGAAACCACAGAGGCCAGGAGGCAGAGGCAGUGGGAUGAUAUAUUCGAAGUGCUGAAAGAAAAAACUGUCAAGAAUUCUGUGUCCAGCAAAACUAUCCUUCAAAAAAAAAAAAAAAAAGUGAAGGAGAAAUUAAGACAUUCACAGAUAAGCAAAAACAGAAAGAGUAUCUCACUAGUAGUCCUGCCUUACAAGAAAUACUAAAAGGAUCCUUCAGCCUGAAAUGAAAAGACACUAGACAGUGAUUCAGAUCCACAUGAGGAAAUAAAAAACACUGAAAAAGAUUUAAAUACAUAGGUAGAUAUAAAUGAAAGCAAUAAUUAUAUCUGUGUCAAAGCACAAUGUAUAAAGGUGAUUCAUGAUGAGGAAAAGAUGAAGUAUAGGAGCAAAAAUUUUGUGUACUAUUGAAACUAAGUUGGUAUUUAUUUGAAAUAGAUUGUUAUAAAUGAAAGUUAAUUGUAAUCCCUAGAGCAACUACUAAGAAAAUAACUAAAAAUUUUGGAAAGGGAAUAAAAAUGGUAUGCUAGAAAAUAUCUAAUACAAAAAAGGCAUAAGGGAGGAAUUGAGGAAGACAUAGGGAAAACAAAUAGCAAGGGGCAAUGUCCUUCCUACUAAUUACAUUAAAUGUGAAUGCCUUAAAUUCCAUUUAACAGAUGGAGAGAUUGGCAGAAUGGAGUCUUUUAAAUGUUCUAACUAUAUCCUGUUUACAGAAGACUGACUUUAGAACCAAAGACACAAACAUGUUGAAAGUGAAAGGGUGUCACCUUAGUUUUCUUUCUUUUUUUUUUUUUUUGAGAUGGAGUUUCACUCUUUUUGCCCAGGCUGGAAUGCAAUGGCGUGCUUGGCUCACCACAACCUCCGCCUCCUGGGUCCAAGCAAUUCUCCUGCCUCAGCCUCCUGAGUAGCUGGGAUUACAGGCAUGCGCCACCACGCCCAGCUAAUUUUGUAUUUUUUAGUAGAGAUGGGGUUUCUCCAUGUUGGCCAGGCUGGUCUUGAACUCCCAACCUCAGGUGAUCUGCCCGCCUCGGCCUCCCAAAGUGCUGGGGUUACAGGCUGAGCCACCGCGCCCGGCCAGCACCUUAGUUUUCUUGUGCUGCCGUAACAGAAUACCUGAGACUGGGUAAUUUAUAUAGAGCAGAAAUUUAUUUUCUCACAGUUUUGGAAUCUGAGAAACUCAAAAUUACGACAUUGGCAGGUUUGGUUGUCUGGUAAGAGCUGCUUUCUGCUUCCAAGAUGACACCUUAUUGCUGCAUCUUCUAUAGGGGAGGAAUGUUACAUCCUCAACGUGGCAGAAGGUAAAAGGGCAAAAAGGAAUGAAAUUCCUCAUCAGGCCCUAAGUUAAGGGCACCUAAUCUCAUUCAUGAGGGGAGGAGCCCUCAAGACUUAACCACCUCUUACUGGCUGGGCGCAGUGGCUCACGCCUGUAAUCCCAGCACUUUGGAAGGCCGAGGCGGGUGGAUCACAAGGUCAGGAGAUAGAGACCAUCCUGGUCCUAGUAGAGACACGGUGAAACGCGGUCUUUACUAAAAAUACAAAAACAAGAUUAGCCGGCCGUGCUGGCGGGCGCCUGUAGUCCCAGCUACUUGGGAGGCUGAGAUGGGAGAAUGGCGUGAACCUGGGAGGCGGAGCUUGCAGUAAGCCGAGAUUGCGCCACUGCACUCCAGCCUGGGCGACAGAGCAAGACUCCGCCUCAAAAAAAAAAAAAAAAAAAAGACUUAACCACCUCUUAAAAGUCCCACCUCUUAAUACCAUCAUGUUGGCCAUUAAGUUUAAAUAUCUGAAUUUUGGAGGGCACACAUUCAAACCAUAGCAAGUGGAAAAAGACAUUCCAAGAUAUCUCAGGUUCACAUGGAACAUUCUUCAGAAUAAAACAUGUUAGUCCACAAGUCUCAGUUUUAAAAGAUUGAAUUACAAAGUGCCUUCUCUGACUACAAUGGAAUAAAACUGAAAAUAACACACCCUUAAACAACCAAUGGAUCAAAGAAAGAUUAAAUCACAAGAGAAAUCAGAAAAUACUUUGAGAUGAAUAAAAACAAAAAUGCAGCACCCUAAAACGUUUGGAAUGCAGCAAAAGCAGUGCUCAAAGGCAAUUUUAUAGCUGCACAUGCCUACAUUAAAAAAUACCUAGAAUCAGCAACCUAACCUUCCACCUUCAGGAACUAGAAAAAGAAGAGGAAAUCAAACCCAAAGCUAGCAGAAGGAAGGAAAUAGUAAAGACUGGAGUAGAGAUAAAUGAAAUAUACAGUAGAAAAUAGAAUCCACAAAACCAAAAUUUGGUUGUUUGAAAUAAUAAUGUUCACAAACCCUUAAAAAGACUGAGCAAGACAAAAAGAUUCAGGUUACUAAAAUCAGGAAUAAAGUGGGGACAUUACUGCCAAUCUUACAGAAAUAAAAAGGAUUGUAAGGAAAUACUAUUAACAAUUAUAUGCUAACAAAUUAGAUAACCUAGAUAAAAUGGACAAAUUCCUAGCAGCACACAAACUACCAAAACUAACUCAAGAAAAAACUAAACCUAUAACAGUACUAGUUAAAAAAAAAAAAAGUAAACCAGUUAAAAACAAAAAACUUCCAAGAUAGGAAAGAUCAAACCAUGUGGCUUUACUGGUGACGUAAAGUAUUUUAAGAGUGCCAGUCCUUCUCAAACACUUAAAGUAGGGGAAGAGGGAAUAUCUUAACUCAUUAUAUGAUGCCGGCGUUACCCUGGUACCAAAUCCAGACAAAGACAUCACAAGAAAAUAAAACUACAGUCCAAUAGUUCUAAUGAAUAUAGAUGCAAAGAUCCUCAGCCAAAGUGAAUCCUGAAGCACAUUACAAGGAUAUCCACAAACAAAACUGUUAGAGCUAAUACCUCAAUAUCACAGGAUGCCCAGGAUCAACAUACAAAAAUUAGUUAUAUUUCUGUAUCCUUGCAAUGAACAUUUCAAAGUGAAAUGAAGAAAACUCAUUUACAGUAGUAUCAAAAAGAAUAAAAUACUAAUAAACAAGAUGUAAGACUUACACACUGAGAACUACAAAACAUAGUUGAGAGAAAUUUAAAAAGACCUAAAUAAAUAGGCAUUUUAUGUUCACGUAUUAGAAGACUUUGAAAAUGGCAAUACUCCCCCAAUUAACCAACAGAAUCAGUGAAAUUCCUAUGAAAAUUCCAACUGCCAUUAAUGUAGAAAUGGGCAGGUUGAUCCUAAAAUUCAUAAGAAAUUGCAAGGAUGUGGCCAGGCGCGGUGGUUCAACGUCUGUAAUUCCAGCACUUUGGGAGGCUGAGGCGGGCGGAUCACGAGGUCAGGAGAUAGAUACCAUUCUGGGUAACACGGUUAAACCCCGUCUCUACUAAAAAUAAAAAAAAAAAAAGUGUAGCCGGGCAGGUGGUGGGCGCCUGUAGUCCCAGCUACUGGGGAGGCUGAGGCAGAAGAAUGGCAUGAACCCAGGAGGCAGAGUUUGCAAUGAGCCGAGAUCGCGCCACUGCACUCCAGACUGGGUGAGAGAGCUAGACUCCAUCUCGAAAGAAAAAAGAAAAUGAAAAAAAGAAAUUGCAAGGAUGCCAAAACAGUCUUGGAAAAGAACAAAGUUAGAAGACCCACAUUUUGUGAUUUCAAAAUUUACCACGAAGCUACAGUAAUCAAAAGAGUGUGGUACUGACAUAAGGAUAGAUAUGUAGGCCAAGAAAACAGAAUUGAGAGCCCAGAAGUAAGCCUAUACAUCUGUGGUCAAUUGAUUUUUGACAAAGGUGUCAAGAUAGAUCACUGGGGAAUAGAAUAGUAUUUUUAAGAAAUGCUGAGGAUACUGGGUAUCCACAUGUAAUAGAAUGGAUUUGGACCCUUACCUUACACCACAUGCAAACAUUAAGUCAAAAUAAAUCAAAUACCUAAAUAUAAGAAUGAAACUAUACAACUAUUAAAAGAAAAUAUUGGGGUAAGUCUACAUGACCUGGGAUUUCCCAGUGGAUUCUUAGAUAUGAUACCAAGAACUCAAGUAGCAACAUGAAAAAUAGAUACAACUGGGCUUGAUCAAAAUUUAAAACUUUACAUAUCAAAUGACACUAUCAAGAAAGAGAAAAGAGAACCCACUGAGUGAGAGAAAAUAUUUGCAAGUCGUAUACCUGGUAAAGCUCAAAUAACUCUUACAAGUCAUCAGUUAAAAGACGACCCAAGUUAAAAAUGGGCAAAGGACUUGAAUAGACAUUUCUCCAAGGGAGAUAUUCUAAUGGCCAAGUACAUGAAGAGAUGCUUUGCAUCAUAACCUUCCACCUUAAGGGAAAUGCAAAUCAAAACCACGAUGAGAUACCACUUUCUAUACUCACUAGGGUGCUAUUAUUAAAAGACAAGUGUUGGCAAGGAUGUGGAGAAAUUGGAAAGCUCAUAAAUUGCUGGCGGAAAUAUAAAAUGGUGCGUUCAUUAUAAAAUAGUUUGAUGGUUUAUCAAAAUUUUAAACGGAAUUAACAUAUAACCCAGCAGCUCUCCUAAAUAUAUACUCAAGAGGAUAGAAAACUAAUCAAACAAAAACUUCUGCAUGAGUGUGUAUAGCAGCACUAUAAUAGCCAAUAAGUAGAAACAACCCAAAUGUUCAUCAAUAGAUGAAUGGACAAAUUGUGGUAUAUUCAUAUAAUGAAAAACUACUCAGCCAUAAAAAGAAAUUAGGUACUAGUAUAUGUUGCAACAUGGAUCAACCUUGAAAGACCUUGCUAACUGAAAGAAAAGGCCACAUCUUACAUGAUUGUAUUUAUGUGAAACAUCUAGAAGAGGCACAUCCAUAGAGACAGAAAACAUUGGUGGAUGCUAGGGGUUAGGGAAAUGUAGAAGUGGGGAGUUGCUGCUUAAUGGGUUUCUUUUUUGAGUGAUGAAAAUAUUCAGAUUUAGGUAGUGGUGAUACUUGCAAACAUUGUGAAUGUACUGGAAGGCACUGAAUUGUACAGUAAAAUGGUUAAAAUGGUGAGUUUUAUGUCAUGUGAAUUUUACCCCAAUAAUACCUCAAUAAUAAUUUUUUAAAAGUAGCCCCUCUCUUAGUCCAUUUUGUGCUGCUCUAACAGAAUACCCGAAACUUUAUAAAGAACAAACGUUGGCCGGGCACUGUGGCUCACGUCUGUAAUCCCAGCACUUUGGGAGGCCGAGGUGGGCAGAUCACGAGGUCAGGAAUUAAGACCAGCCUAGCCAACAUGGUGAAACCCCGUCUCUACUAAAAAUAACAAAAACUAGCUGGGCGUGGUAGCACAUGCCUGUAAUCCCAGCUACUUGGGAGGCUGAGGCAGGAGAAUUGCUUAAACCCGGGAGGUGGGGGUUGCAGUGAGCUGCGAUCACGCCAUUGCACUCCAGCCUGGGCAACAGAGCAAGAGAUUCUUGUCUAAAAAAAAAAAAAAGGAACUAUAUUGGCCCACAUUUCUGGCAGUUGAGAAGUCCUAGAUGAAGGGGCCACAUCUAGUGAGGGCCUUCUUACUGCAUCGUAACGGUGGAAGGCAUCACAUGAUGAGAGAGAGAGCAAGAAAAGGUGCUUUUGUUACAAGCCCAUUCCAUUAUAAUGAACCCACUCCCAUGAUAACAAGCUAUUCAUGAGGACAGAGCCAUCAUGACCUAUUCUCUAAUUAGGCCCUACCUCCCGACACUGUUGCAUUGAAGAUUAAUUUUCCAACACAAGAACUUUGGGGGACACAAUCCAUAGCAGUCCCUCUCUUCACUAAUUUCUUUCCAUGAAUUCUUCCACUCCCCUGACUUUUGUGUGUAGUUACCAUCUAUACACAGAUGCUUCACUAGAGGCAGUUUGUAUCUCCAACCCACAUCUUUUUUUUGAGUUCCAGAUGUGAAUAUCCUGCUGUUUACUUACCUACCACCUCCACACAUAGCUUCAAAUGCAACUUUGAAAUAUAAAACUGAGUUCAUUACCUUUUCUCCUAAAUUUGAUUAUCUGUGAAUGCUUUCUGUCUCACUAAAGAUAGCUUCCAGUCAUUGAGAGUUUGCUGUAUGUUUGGACUAAAGUGUUAAUCCAUUAAUUUACUUAAUCCUCACAAGAACCUCAGAUAAUACUAUUUUCCAUUUGCAGUGAGAAAGUUGAAAGGUAAAAUAACUUAUUGAAAUCACACACCUUUUAAGGAAAGGCUAGCCCUCAACAAAGGCAGCCUGACUUUUCAGAGCCUAUGUUCUUAAUGCCAUUGCUAUACCAUCCUCUAACUUUUUCUAGAGACCUAGAAGUCAUCUUUGUCACUUCUCUCCUUUACAUGCUUUAUCAAGUUGAUCAUGAGGUCCUAUUGAUUUGACUUCCUAAAUAACUCUCACUCCAUCCAGUUCAUUUCAUCUGCUACCACCAGCCUUAUUCAAGCAACCAUCUUUUGUCUAUACAAUGGCCUCUUAACUAACCUCCCAUAUUCACUGACAACAACCUAAUAAAAAUAUUUAUAAAUAUAAAUUUGUAUCUUACAGGUAGGGAAUUUAUAUUCUUCUCUUAUUAUGCCCAAGGAAUAUUUCCAAAUAUUAAUCAUAAGAUUGAUCACCUAGAAAACCUUAGUGAAUCAUGAAAAGUAGAAAUCUUAAGAGCUGCUUUUCAGAUGAUAGUGCAAUAAAACCUAAAGUCAACAAAGGUUGUUUUUGUUUCUUGAUGAUUUUAACUGUUGGUUUACUAUCAGUCUCUCCAACACUCCUGCCUUAAUUCUUGGUGAUUUUAAUAUGCACAUCAAUGAUCUUUCCAAUAUCUUGACCUCCAGCUUCUUGGACACCUCUUUUCAUUCCACUUCAGCCACUCCUUUGGUCAUUCCCUAGUUAGAUCUGCUUAUUACCAUUAACUGCAAACUCAAUUAUCUCAACUUCAUGCAUCCACCUUUCUGGCUGCCACAUCCUGUCUUUCCAGCUUUCCCCUCUAGAUCCCUAGCUCCUCAUAAUUAUUUAUCUUUGUUGGUAAUUCUAAUCUAUUGAUUCUAUCACUGUUUCACUGCCCCUCACCCUUAUUUUCCUCCUCACUUGGCUUAAAUUCCAUAGCCAGUCAUUGAUUGGAUAUUCCUUUUACCCACUGACAAAACCGUAACCCUAAUCAUUACUUAUCUACUCCAUUCUUGCUCCCAUGUAGCUGAACAUGACUGGAAGAAAAAUGCAAGAGUUUCACUUUAAAUUCUUGAAGACAAACCUCAUGUGACCUCAAAAUGCUGCCAGUCAAUCAAAUUAUAUUUUCUCCAAGUUUAUUCACUUGUAGUCAGCUUGGGCUGCUACAAUAAAAUAUCAUAAAGUAGGUAGCUUGUAAACAACAGAUUGUCUUCCUUCUGGUUCUGGAGGCUGGGAAAUUCAUGAUCAAGGCACCAGCAGAUUUAGUGUCUGUUGAAGUCCAGCUUUGUGGUUCAUGGAUGGUGACUUCUCACUGUGAGAAGAUAUGGUGGAAGGAAAGAGGGGUCCUUUCUUGAGCCUCUUUUAUAAGGACACUAAUCUCAAUCAUGAGGACCACCCCCCAUAACCUAAUCACCCUCCAAACGUGAUUAGGCCUUCCAAUACCAUCACCUUGUGGGUUAGGAUUUCAACAUACGAAUUUUGAAGGGACACAAACAUUCAGAGCAUAGCACCCCCUUUUCCUGAAAUGAUUUUAUGUAAUGAUUUUAUGUAAUUGUCUCUUCUCGAAUAUCCAACACUCUAUUCCCAGUCUUACCCUCGAUGAUAACUCUUGUUCCUAUUUCCUGGAGAAAAUCAGAGCAAUCAGAAGAGAUCCCCUGCCACUAAAUCUAUCCUUCUAGCAGCUUGUGAACUCAUAUAAUUUUCUUUCCAGCCUGUUACCAUACAUAUAUGCAUGAUGUCCAUGCUCUCAUCUAAAAUCAGCCUCUGCUUGUGUACUAGAUCAGGGUUGACAAAAUGCAGCCUGUGGCCCAAAUCCUGCAUUUUGUUUUGUUUUUGUACAGCCCGUAAGCCAAGAAUAGUUUUUACUUUUUUUUUUUUUUUUUUUUUUUUGAGACAGUCUUACUCUGUUACCCAGGCUGGAGUGCAGUGGCACAAUCUUGGCUCACUGCAACCUCCACCUCCCGGGUUCAAGCGAUUCUUCUGCCU